CCGACAUUGAACCAAGUCCAGUGACGCAAUAGCUGGUAAAUAAGCGGGUUUUAAUCUAUGUUCGAUCUGUCAGACCAAUGUGUGUCACAGGCGGUGAAUUUUUCGUGGAUCGUGUGUACAUCGUCAGUCGUACUGCAGCCCUUCUCAACGUCACAUACAAACGUAAUAAUUCGUUUUCUUUGUUUACGUUAUUCUUCUGGCGUAUCAUCGAGCUUUGCUCACGCACAGUGGAUGAAAUCCAACGGGCCAUCACUCGGCAACAACAGGAAACUUAUGACGAUGAGGAAUCGCAUAGGGUAGUGGGUAAUUUACAAGAGCAGGCUGCAUUCGACAACGCCAAAGAAGUGAAUGAUCCUGACGACCCUGACUUCGUUAUGCAAGAUAACGCGGAAGCAGAUCCCGAUAUAAAUGAGGCAGAUAUGCAGAAGCGCACAGUACCAACGCCUAGAAAAAGAGCACAAGUAGAUAGACAGAGUACAUCUAUUUGAACGCCAGCCAUGACUUGGUCGAAAGCAGCACCUGAACUUCGGGGCAGGCAUGUCGGUGAGCAGGACUGGCUUACUUGCUAUACGCGAGAAGCUCGAGACGCCGCAAAGGAUGUUUUUUCCAUGAUAGAAGCUUGGUCAUUACUAUUUAUUGACGGCAUGCUUGCAUUGAUUAUAAAGCAUACGAAUGAAUCAAUACUGCGUUGGAUUGUGAAAAUGACGAUUGAAGCGCAACAAGGUAGAGAAUUCGUCAAGCAUAUGUAUUAUGAUGAAACAAAUAUGGCAGAAAUGAAAGCUUUUAUUGGUCUCAAUAUCAUGGAGGCAUUUAUGGAGUAUUAAUGACCGCCGUACAUUCUUUGUGGGAGUCUGAGUCAAUGUCCUUGUUCACCGCAGAUAUUACACUCCAUAUGAGCACGUGAUUAUCGAUGAGCAGCUACUCUCUUUCCGUGGAAAAUGUCCGUUUAGAAUCUACAUGAAGAGUGAACCUGCCAAAUAUGGCUUGAAGAUUCUUAUGAUAAUCGAUAGUAAAACCUAUUACAUGUUCAUCACGAUACCAUAUGUCGGAAAAGUGGAUACCGUAGGUCGAGAGAGUGUCCCUUCAUAUCAUGUCAAACUUCUAAUCGAGCCGAUACAUGGAAGUAAGCGCAAUGUUACUUGUGACAACUGGUUUAUGUCCGCACCUCUUGUAGAAAUAAUGAUUGAAGAGCCUAGUGAAUCCUAAAAUCCGUGAUAUUAGGGUGAUAUUCACGUAAUCACUCAAAUUCCACUCAACUCAUCGGUGUAGUUGUAAAAUUUUUCCACCACGGUUUUACUAAAAUUACCCUCGGAAAAUCGACUCUGGUAUCAUCAAAAUAUCAUUAUUUUAAUUCACUGGCGAUCUCCUAUUUUCCCUAACUUUAUAUAAAUUUUUCAUAUGCACGUUACGUUCGUGGACGUCGUUUACUCCCGAGCGGUAAGGAAUAAACUGGUUCGACUUCGCUUUUACGUCCGGGGACAACCGGAAGUUGGGGUUGAAUAAGGGUUGAAUAACCGUUUGGAUGUUUGAGAUAUCAACUAUGUAUUUGAUUGAAUAAUUUGUGGUAUAGUUUAAACGGAGUGUGUAGUUCACAAUAUCGGUAAAAAAAACUAUACGUGAGAUUGUUGAGUGUCGAAAUAGAAUUUAUCGUACCGAAUGUUGGAAUGGUAAUGAAUCUGAGCUAAAGAGGAGUAGACGUAAGGUGCGCAAAAUGGUGGGGAAUAGAAUUAGCAGAGUUGGCAAAAAGCGAGUGGCGUGAGCCAAAAUGGAAAUAGGAGGACGGGAAUGAGAUGAUAAGGUUAUUGUAAGGAUCGUGGGAGAGUAACGAGAUGAGGGAGACAUGUGGCGAUAUGCCGGACGUAACAUGCAAAUCUUUAUGAUAUAAUUCAUACAGUAUCGUUGGAAUUAGUUCUUUGACUAAUUUUUUUUUGUUUAUAAUUUUGAAUAACAGUUUUUUUUUCUUGCGUCUUGAAACAUCAGCAGUUUCUAAUUAGAAUAAAUUGCUUUUUUCUAAGAUACAAUUUUUUGAAAAAUUACAAAUAUUUUGGAUAUUUUAUGAAAACAAUUUCCGAGUGUCCGUUUUUUCUCUCCACUAAAUUCCCCCUCCCCUGACCCUCCCCUUGUUGACCGCGCCAGCUGUCCAACAAAAAUUUGCGAUAUAUAUCUUUUGUAAGAUUAAUUUUUGCCAGCAUUCAUUGCGGAUCGCCAAAUUAUUGUGCACACGGUAAGUUCUCGGGCCACUUCUCCGGGCGGAGUUACAGCAAAAAUCCGCGUCUCAGUGCAAAAAAAAAAAAACAAAACAAAACAAAACAAUAACUCGUAUUACGGUGUCGAUGACACAUUAAAAGCGUGUCAUAAAAUUAAAGCUUUUAUCGGAAAAUUCUACUUGCAACAUGAGUGGCUAACGAAACUGUUUGGGAUUACCGGUGAAGUUUGCACUGCGAUAAAUCGCGCCAACGUUAAUCUUUAUUGUGCAGGUAAUGAUAUAACCAUUAGCGAACUGAGCGUAGGUGAUAUUGAUUAUACAUUAUUCCCGUAUUACACACCGCGUGUACUGCAAAUUUACACUCGUAGUUUCGUUGACCACUAAGAUAUACUAGUUCGUCUGAACCAUAAAUUAAAAAAAUCAUAGAACGAAUAUUUAAACGCAUAUCUUGGAUCCGUCGAAUUCAACGUGAUGUAAUAAACAGAUACGAUUGGCCGUUAAAAAUGCUCUACCAUUCAAACAGUUUGCGUCGAAUUUACGACGUGUGGUGAUCUAAAAUCUGCACCUUGUACUUUUUCCUCUUACAAUUAGAUGUAGUUACCGGAUGCUUACGCAAGGGUUGUUUUCUCCGUACCAACUUCUUUCCCAGAGACUUUUUUCUUCGGGAUCUCGAAACGCCUCUGGGUCUCCACAAACGUCCUUCUCGACGGUCCACAGUUCUCCUGUUUCUUACCUUAUUAGCGGUAGAGAUGCUUGACCUGAAAACUUCGAGGCUGAAUAACAAGAAGGUGAAAUAAAUGGAAUGUACACGGGGUUUAAUCCCAUCUAGAUCGUAUUAAUUUUGAUAUAUAGGUAUAAUAUGCAGAAUACCACGAUUGUUCACCUUUACAAAGCCCCUUCGCUUCCAGAAUAAUAAUCAGCGGAAAGCCCAGGGGAUGUAAUACAGACUUCGCCUGUAUAAGAAAAAAAGAAGUUUUUCCACAUUUUGUUAACAGCAUUUACGGUUGAGAAUCUGUGAGCAACGCCUUACCAUUGUAAAUAUUUUUUAUGAAACUAAAAACGAACAGUGCAGAAUAAAUAACAUGAUAUGUUUAAAUAUAUUAUAUAUUUCGUCAUAAUAUCGAUCGAUCAGAUACAAUAAUACAUUUUUGGACCUGUAUAAUUAGGUAAACAUACAGAGGUAUACAACGCAAUCAAUUGGACAUAAUUGCAUUAUACAUUAUAAAUACUAAUAAUAAACGUCAUAGUUUGUUCUGAAGACUUUCGGUUAGUUGAAUACAGUGUUUAUUUUAUUUGUUUAUUUUUCGGAGAUGAGAAUUAGGUACGUAAGAUAAUUUACCGAUAACUUUAAGCGCGAAUACCUCAAGCUGUUAUUACACGUAUGAAAUUACAAGUGUAGAGAGGUGAGUCUUUCGGGUCUUUGGAAUGUUCAACGCGUUUAUAAUUCACGCACCUCCGCUACAAUCUUUCUUUCCAAUUCUUUUAAAUACAUGUACUGGAAGAUCACGCGUUACGAAAAUCGCACGUACAAUGUUUGUAGGAAUCGCAUACAACGUCUUUCUCGCUCUCUCUUGCCUUCUCUUAAUUCUUCUCUCUUCCUCCCUCAGUAUUUCGGCGUGUGCAUGUGUGUAGUAACAGCUUUAAUACGACGCUCAUCAAUGAUAACUCGAAGAAAACGCGAUAGCGACGUUAGAAGUGAGGAUGAAAGUAUCUUGCUUUUUGAUUUGUGCGAGAGAACAAAAUAAAAAAUACAUACCUACAUGUAUGUGUGUAUAAAUAAAAGAUUGCUUCAAGAGAUAAAUUCGGUAGAAACGUGACAUCUUCACCACGGUGACAACA